UGGGGGAUAUUGCACAAUGGGCGAAAGCCUGAUGCAGCGACGCCGCGUGGGGGAUGAAGGCUUUCGGGUUGUAAACCUCUUUCGCUAUCGAACAAGGCCCGCUUAGGGUGGGUUGAGGGUAGGUGGAGAAGAAGCGCCGGCUAACUCCGUGCCAGCAGCCGCGGUAAUACGUAGGGCGCGAGCGUUGUCCGGAAUUAUUGGGCGCAAAGGGCUUGUAGGCGGCUUGUUGCGCCUGCUGUGAAAACGAGGGGCUUAACUUGGCGCGUGCAGUGGGUACGGGCAGGCUUGAGUGUGGUAGGGGUGACUGGAAUUCCAGGUGUAGCGGUGGAAUGCGCAGAUAUCUGGAGGAACACCGAUGGCGAAGGCAGGUCACUAGGCCAUUACUGACGCUGAGGAGCGAAAGCAUGGGGAGCGAACAGG
rnacentral:rRNA from 1 species